AACGAUGCAUAGCCGACCUGAGAGGGUGAUCGGCCACACUGGGACUGAGACACGGCCCAGACUCCUACGGGAGGCAGCAGUAGGGAAUCUUCCGCAAUGGACGAAAGUCUGACGGAGCAACGCCGCGUGAGUGAUGAAGGCUUUCGGGUCGUAAAACUCUGUUGUUAGGGAAGAACAAGUACAAGAGUAACUGCUUGUACCUUGACGGUACCUAACCAGAAAGCCACGGCUAACUACGUGCCAGCAGCCGCGGUAAUACGUAGGUGGCAAGCGUUAUCCGGAAUUAUUGGGCGUAAAGCGCGCGCAGGCGGUUUCUUAAGUCUGAUGUGAAAGCCCACGGCUCAACCGUGGAGGGUCAUUGGAAACUGGGGAACUUGAGUGCAGAAGAGAAAAGCGGAAUUCCACGUGUAGCGGUGAAAUGCGUAGAGAUGUGGAGGAACACCAGUGGCGAAGGCGGCUUUUUGGUCUGUAACUGACGCUGAGGCGCGAAAGCGUGGGGA
rnacentral:rRNA from 1 species